rnacentral:rRNA from 1 species
AACGAACGCUGGCAGCAGGCCUAACACAUGCAAGUCGAACGCAUCGCAAGAUGAGUGGCGCACGGGUGAGUAACACGUGGGAAUGUACCCUUUGGUUCGGAAUAACGUCUGGAAACGGACGCUAAUACCGGAUGAGCCCUACGGGGGAAAGAUUUAUCGCCAAAGGAGCAGCCCGCGUCUGAUUAGCUAGUUGGUGGGGUAAAGGCCUACCAAGGCGACGAUCAGUAGCUGGUCUGAGAGGAUGAUCAGCCACACUGGGACUGAGACACGGCCCAGACUCCUACGGGAGGCAGCAGUGGGGAAUAUUGGACAAUGGGCGGAAGCCUGAUCCAGCCAUGCCGCGUGAGUGAUGAAGGCCUUCGGGUUGUAAAGCUCUUUCGCACGCGACGAUGAUGACGGUAGCGUGAGAAGAAGCCCCGGCUAACUUCGUGCCAGCAGCCGCGGUAACAC